GUGGUAAUGCCGGAUGCUCCAGUUGACCGCAUGGUCCUCUGGGAAAGCUUUUGCGGUAUGGGAUGGGGUCGCGUCCUAUCAGCUUGAUGGCGGGGUAACGGCCCACCAUGGCUUCGACGGGUAGCCGGCCUGAGAGGGCGACCGGCCACAUUGGGACUGAGAUACGGCCCAGACUCCUACGGGAGGCAGCAGUGGGGAAUAUUGCACAAUGGGCGCAAGCCUGAUGCAGCGACGCCGCGUGCGGGAUGACGGCCUUCGGGUUGUAAACCGCUUUUGACUGGGAGCAAGCCCUUCGGGGUGAGUGUACCUUUCGAAUAAGCACCGGCUAACUACGUGCCAGCAGCCGCGGUAAUACGUAGGGUGCAAGCGUUAUCCGGAAUUAUUGGGCGUAAAGGGCUCGUAGGCGGUUCGUCGCGUCCGGUGUGAAAGUCCAUCGCUUAACGGUGGAUCCGCGCCGGGUACGGGCGGGCUUGAGUGCGGUAGGGGAGACUGGAAUUCCCGGUGUAACGGUGGAAUGUGUAGAUAUCGGAAAAGAACACCA
rnacentral:rRNA from 1 species